rnacentral:miRNA from 1 species
CAAUAGCCUGGAUGAUUCAGAUG